rnacentral:rRNA from 1 species
GACGAACGCUGGCGGCGUGCUUAACACAUGCAAGUCGAACGGAAAGGCUCCAGCUUGCUGGAGUACUCGAGUGGCGAACGGGUGAGUAACACGUGGGUAAUCUGCCCUGCACUCUGGGAUAAGCCUGGGAAACUGGGUCUAAUACUGGAUAUGACCUUUCUCCUUAUGGGGUUUGGUGGAAAGUUUUUCGGUGUAGGAUGAGCGCGCGGCCUAUCAGCUUGUUGGUGGGGUGAUGGCCUACCAAGGCGACGACGGGUAGCCGGCCUGAGAGGGUGAUCGGCCACAUUGGGACUGAGAUACGGCCCAGACUCCUACGGGAGGCAGCAGUGGGGAAUAUUGCACAAUGGGCGGAAGCCUGAUGCAGCGACGCCGCGUGAGGGAUGGCGGCCUUCGGGUUGUAAACCGCUUUCAGCAGGGACGAAGCGUAAGUGACGGUACCUGAAGAAGAAGCACCGGCUAACUAUGUG